GGAAGAUCUAACGGGAUGCGGGAAAACCCUAUACAAAUCGUAAGGGUCAAGAAAAAACUGGGAAAAGCUGUCCAAAAGAGGGAAGAGCGUGUUCCACGACGUGCAGAAAGGAUUGUGGAAAGUUGACUGAUGAGCGCAAGCUGCAUCUGUUCAACAGUUUCUACACUGUCCCAUACGAGAAACAACAAGCACAACCAGCAAAACCAUUCAAGGUGAUGAGGAUGCAAUGUGAAGACUUCAGUCACCUCCCAGAUUCUGUUCUCAAGCGACCAGCUGGACUACAGAUCACUUCAGUGAGGUGGUUAAAAGUCACAUGUAUUGCACAGAGAAUAGUUUACUAACAUCCCAUCAACAUGCAACAUGUUGUUCUAACAAUAAAAUAUCCUAAUGAUU